AGGAAGACUGAUUGAACAUACUAUUUCCUCAGUGUUGUGUAGAGGGGCUCAGGUUCUGCUGCCCCAGCGGAUGCUGGAAAGCAGACUACUCAAUUUGGGCCCACAAGGGACACGGGCUUG